GCAAUUUUUAACGUAAAAGUAAGAUUUGUGUGUUCAAUAAAAUAAAUGUAUGGUGCAAAAAUUUAUAGAAUUAACUUAAAAUAAGAAAAACAUGUCCGGGCCUUUCUGUAGAUAUAUGGAUAUUGGGUGAUUUUAUUUUGUAUAGGCAAAUGGUUGCUGUUCUUAAAUCAUAUAUAAUAACAUAAUAUUAAUCCGAACGCAUUACCGUGCGUAACGUCACAGUUAGUACGUAUCGAAACGUAUCAAUGCGGGGUGAAAACGUGAGUCUACACGUACUAAUACAUAGCAAAACGUGAUAAAAACGUAGCACACACCUAGAAAAACCUAGUUUUCAAAAUAACGGGACACUUUUGUUCAAAAUGUAGUUGAAACGUAGACUUUUAAACGUAGUAAAACUUGACAGUGUGACUGCGGCUUUAGCAACCAACAUUUAACAAUCAUAUACGUACUUACUUUUCCCUUGACUAGACGAUUUGGUUAACCUAUGAUUUUCGAAGAAUUUUUUGUUCGAUAUUUUCUCCUCAGUAGCAAUGUGAAAGAAUGUCUUGGGUAUCUAAGCAUUAAAUCGAUGAUUUAUUUGGUCAUAUAUUCCUUUAAGUUAAUACGAUGGCAAUUAAAAUUCAUUGCUUUUGGUUGAUUUAUAAAAGUGAGGAUUAAACGUCAUUUUUAUGAUUAUGAUGAACUCCUACGAUUUCAACCUUAAUUAUAAAAUAACAAGGGCUAAUGGACCACAGACUAUGGGCCAACAGAUUUAAACCAUUUACAGCGAAUUAUUCUCUGAUUCUCUGUGAAUCAUUGUUGCUAUCU
rnacentral:lncRNA from 1 species